rnacentral:lncRNA from 1 species
AUGGUUCUGACUCUUUUCCCACAUAAAAUUAUUCAAACUCUAAAUAGUUGGUUUAGCUCCUUUGUUUGGGCAGGGAGGAAACCUCGUCUUAAAAUAUCCACGUUAUGUCUUCCAUCUUCAAAAGGGGGCCUUGAUCUCCCAGAUAUAAGGAAGUAUCAGCUGAGCACUCAUAUGCGUAUAGCUGCUGACUGGGUACAACAGCCUUCUCCUGUCUGGUUGGAUAUUGAGAGCUCUAUGUCUAACUUCCCUCUGAAAAGUUUGCUUUUUGUGGGGAAACUUAAGACCUUAACGACGCUCUGUAGCAACCCACUCACAUUAGCUACUGUUAAAGUUCGGCGAAUGGUUCAAAAACUAGAAGGAAGGUCUCACUUAACAUCUCUUUUCACUCCCCUAUCCGAUUAUCCUCUUUUGCCUGGGACCACUGACCCUGGCUUUUGGAAAUGGGCUGCGAAUGGUAUUUCUACCUUUUCUGACUUAAUGGACGGGUCUAAUCUUAUGUCCUUUAACCAGCUAAUCGAUAAAUACAACAUUCAUAGGCAUGACUUUUUUAGAUAUUUACAAGUGAGGGACCAUAUACAAAGGGCUACAACGAUACUCACUAAUCAGACCGUCUCUAAAUGUGAAAAGCAGAUAUUUCAGCCAAAUCUUAGAACUUCUAUAAAAAUUUGCUAUGGCCUGUUAACAAAAUUUGGGGUCACUGACACAACCUAUUUGAAGAGGACUUGGGAAAAAGAAUUACAUAUAGGGAUCAGUGACGAGGUAUGGGACGAAGUCUGGGAGAAUGCUAAAUCUCUGACCAUCUGUAAUAAAGUAAAGGCAAUCCAACUUAAAAUCCUACACAGAGUUCACAUAUCACCUUCUCAACGCCAUAAAUACAAUUCAGACCUUUCUCCGCUGUGCCCUAAAUGUAAAAUAGAGGUGGGCAACCUAACGUACUGUCUAUGGUCCUGCCGGAAAAAACAACAAUUCUGGUUUCUCAUAAAGCGCAAACUGGAUAAGAUCUUCACCACUGACACUGAAUGUAAUCCACUGUGCAUGCUGCUUGGAGUGGCAAAUGACAAAAUCAGGGGAAGUUUGGAAAGCAGCUCUAUGCGCUGUUAA